rnacentral:rRNA from 1 species
GAUGAACGCUGGCGGCGUGCCUAAUACAUGCAAGUCGAGCGAACGGACGAGAGGCUUGCUUCUCUGAUGUUAGCGGCGGACGGGUGAGUAACACGUGGAUAACCUACCUAUAAGACUGGGAUAACUUCGGGAAACCGGAGCUAAUACCGGAUAAUAUUUUGAACCGCAUGGUUCAAAAGUGAAAGACGGUCUUGCUGUCACUUAUAGAUGGAUCCGCGCUGCAUUAGCUAGUUGGUAAGGUAACGGCUUACCAAGGCAACGAUGCAUAGCCGACCUGAGAGGGUGAUCGGCCACACUGGAACUGAGACACGGUCCAGACUCCUACGGGAGGCAGCAGUAGGGAAUCUUCCGCAAUGGGCGAAAGCCUGACGGAGCAACGCCGCGUGAGUGAUGAAGGUCUUCGGAUUGUAAAACUCUGUUAUUAGGGAAGAACAUAUGUGUAAGUAACUGUGCACAUCUUGACGGUACCUAAUCAGAAAGCCACGGCUAACUACGUGCCAGCAGCCGCGGUAAUACGUAGGUGGCAAGCGUUAUCCGGAAUUAUUGGGCGUAAAGCGCGCGUAGGCGGUUUUUUAAGUCUGAUGUGAAAGCCCACGGCUCAACCGUGGAGGGUCAUUGGAAACUGGAAAACUUGAGUGCAGAAGAGGAAAGUGGAAUUCCAUGUGUAGCGGUGAAAUGCGCAGAGAUAUGGAGGAACACCAGUGGCGAAGGCGACUUUCUGGUCUGUAACUGACGCUGAUGUGCGAAAGCGUGGGGAUCAAACAGGAUUAGAUACCCUGGUAGUCCACGCCGUAAACGAUGAGUGCUAAGUGUUAGGGGGUUUCCGCCCCUUAGUGCUGCAGCUAACGCAUUAAGCACUCCGCCUGGGGAGUACGACCGCAAGGUUGAAACUCAAAGGAAUUGACGGGGACCCGCACAAGCGGUGGAGCAUGUGGUUUAAUUCGAAGCAACGCGAAGAACCUUACCAAAUCUUGACAUCCUUUGACAACUCUAGAGAUAGAGCUUUCCCCUUCGGGGGACAAAGUGACAGGUGGUGCAUGGUUGUCGUCAGCUCGUGUCGUGAGAUGUUGGGUUAAGUCCCGCAACGAGCGCAACCCUUAAGCUUAGUUGCCAUCAUUAAGUUGGGCACUCUAAGUUGACUGCCGGUGACAAACCGGAGGAAGGUGGGGAUGACGUCAAAUCAUCAUGCCCCUUAUGAUUUGGGCUACACACGUGCUACAAUGGACAAUACAAAGGGCAGCGAAACCGUGAGGUCAAGCAAAUCCCAUAAAGUUGUUCUCAGUUCGGAUUGUAGUCUGCAACUCGACUACAUGAAGCUGGAAUCGCUAGUAAUCGUAGAUCAGCAUGCUACGGUGAAUACGUUCCCGGGUCU